UGGGGAAUUUUGCACAAUGGGGGGAACCUUGAUGCAGCGACGCCGCGUGAGGGAUGGAGGCCUUCGGGUUGUGAACCUCUUUCGCUCGUGUGCAAGCCGCGAUUUGGGUAGUGGUGAGUGUAGCGGGUAAAGAAGCGCCGGCUAACUACGUGCCAGCAGCCGCGGUAAUACGUAGGGCGCGAGCGUUGUCCGGAUUUAUUGGGCGUAAAGGGCUUGUAGGCGGUUGUCGCGCCUGUCGUGUAAUCCUCUGGCUUAACUGGGGGUGUGCGGUGGGUACGGGCAGGCUUGAGUGCGGUAGGGGAGAUUGGAAUUCCUGGUGUAGCGGUGGAAUGCGCAGAUAUCAGGAGGAACCCCGGUGGCGAAGGCGGGUCUCUGGGCCGUUACUGACGCUGAGGAGCGAAAGCGUGGGGAGCGAACAGG
rnacentral:rRNA from 1 species